ACGGGAAUAGCCAAGUGGUAAGGCAGUAGACUUAAAAUCUAUGGCAAUAGUGCUCGACGGUUCGAAUCCGUCUUCCCGUA
rnacentral:tRNA from 1 species